AUGGGGCUGGCGGUGCCGUUGCCGGAGAAGCCAUCGGAGGAAGCGCAGAAGGCAGAGGAGGCCGUCGACGCGGCGGGCCAAGGCCAGGAGAAGCGGCCCGACAAAGCGCCGGAGACAGGAGGGCCUAGCGGCGCCACGGGCCAACUCCAGGAGACGCCGCCGGGCGAAGCGUCGAAGACAGGAAAGGCGGGCGGCGACGGCGUCCAGCCGCUGACUGUUGCAUAUUUGUCUCACGCUGCUACUACAGCGCCACCAUCAGAGGAGUACAUCAAAAUGAUGGCUUAUGAGAUGGAGAAGAGUCGCAAGAAGACUGAUCCCUCGCUAUCUCCGCCAUCUUCAGUACCAAAGAAAUUUAAGAAGUGA
rnacentral:rRNA from 1 species